rnacentral:lncRNA from 1 species
UGUCAUGACGGUGCUCAUCCCGAGGAACACCACCAUCCCGACCAAGAAGGAGCAGGUCUUCUCCACGUACUCCGACAACCAGCCGGGCGUCCUGAUCCAGGUGUACGAGGGUGAGCGCGCGAGGACCAAGGACAACAACCUCCUCGGCAAGUUCGAGCUCUCGGGCAUCCCUCCUGCUCCCCGCGGCGUGCCUCAGAUCACGGUCACCUUCGACAUCGACGCCAACGGCAUCCUCAACGUCUCUGCCGAGGACAAGACCACCGGCCAGAAGAACAAGAUCACGAUCACCAACGACAAGGGCAGGCUUAGCAAGGAGGAGAUUGAGAAGAUGGUGCAGGAGGCUGAGAAGUACAAGGCUGAGGACGAGGAGGUCAAGAAGAAGGUGGACGCCAAGAACACGCUCGAGAACUACGCCUACAACAUGAGGAACACCAUCAAGGAUGACAAGAUCGCCUCCAAGCUCCCGGCAGAGGACAAGAAGAAGAUUGAGGACGCCGUCGAUAGUGCCAUCAGCUGGCUGGACAGCAACCAGCUGGCUGAGGUGGACGAGUUUGAAGACAAGAUGAAGGAGCUUGAGGGGAUCUGCAACCCCAUCAUCGCGAAGAUGUACCAGGGCGCUGGCGCGGGCAUGGGCGAUGCUGCUGGCAUGGAUGAGGACGCCCCGUCUGGUGGGAGCGGUGCUGGUCCUAAGAUCGAGGAGGUCGAUUAAGUUGUUUUAGUGU